CUAAAAUGAGACAGGUUAUAACCUGCUUUAAACUUGACAGCUUUCUAAAGCUGCUGGGAAUCCAACUGGUGGUUACUGAAGGAUCCAAAAUGGUUUCACCUCUACCAGAAUGUGAAGGGAAAGGAGAGCCCUUGGGAAAAGCUGUCCUCAGGCAGAGCAUCGCAGGCUCCUGAAUCACCACCUGGCCAGAACCUGGUGUUCAGUUACAUCCCAGCUACAGGAGAGGGCAACAGGCAGGCAGUAAAGCUGGGUGAUGAAGAUGAGAACAGACACACAGCAUGUCUAGGUGUCAAAACUGUCGGGCUUAUUUUGGCACACAAAUAAAGAAGUGACAUAGCAACGGACAAAAAAGGGAUCCCAAGUUGUCUGAUUCAACUCCAAAAGGACAGAGUCACUGCAAGCACAGAGCAGGUAGAAGCUGUACGCUCC
rnacentral:lncRNA from 1 species